ACACGUAGGGGCCUGACGUUGUUCGGAAUCAUUGGGCGUAAAGGGCGCGCAGGCGGCCGUCCAAGUCCGGUGUUAAAUGGUCGGGCUCGACCCGAUCAUGCGCUGGAAACUGGGCGGCUUGAGUCCCGUAGGGGAUGACGGAAUUCCAGGUGUAGGGGGGAAAUCUGUAGAUAUCUGGAAGAACACCGAUGGCGAAGGCAGGCAUCUGGCCGGAGACUGACGCUGAGGCGCGAAGGCGCGGGGAGCGAACAGGUUUAGAUACCCUGGUAGUCCGCGCAGUAAACGAUGCGCACCAGGUGUCGGGCGGCAGCGCCCGGUACCGGAGCUAACGCGAUGAGUGCGCCGCCUGGGGAGUAUGCCCGCAAGGGUGAAACUCAAAUGAAUUGACGGGG
rnacentral:rRNA from 1 species